rfam:Asian citrus Psyllid, Diaphorina citri - Florida Strain, whole genome shotgun sequence.
CGACCUCGGGCUGUACGGGACUACCCGGUGGAUUUAAGCAUAUCGAUAAGCGGAGGAAAAGAAACUAACGAGGAUUCCCCAGUAGCGGCGAGCGAAGAGGGAAGAGCCCAGCACCGAAUCCCCGGAGCCGAGUGCUUCGUCGAGGAAAUGUGGUGUUCGAGUGGUCCCGCUUAUCCUGGGCGAUUCGGCCGGGUGCGUUCAAGUCCACCUUGGAAAGGCCACGGCCCCAGAGAGGGUGCCAGGCCCGUAGAGACCGCUGCGCCCGCCCAGGAGGGGUCCACUCUAGAGUCGGGUUGCUUGGAAAUGCAGCCCCUAAGCAGGUGGUAAACUCCAUCUAAGGCUAAAUACGACCACGAGACCGAUAGCGAACAAGUAACCGUGGAGGUAAAGUUGAAAAGAACUUUGAAGAAGAGAGUUCAACGAGUACGUGAAACCGUUCGGGGGUUAAACGAACGAGACCGAUGACGCGUCCGGCGAGGACUCAGUUUCGUGUCGGCCCCGCGGACCGCGACGGUCGUUGUUUUCCGUUGGUCGCGCGCGCCGGCGUCUCCGCUCUCGGGCGGGGCGUCGGUUUUCGCGCGCGCCACGGCGGCCGUCCGGGCUCAGUCCGCCCGGCCGAACCGAUUUUCCUCCGCCGCAGUGGAACGCGCGACUCGCUGGGGAAGCGGUCGACGCGGUCCGAGUGGAGCUCGGCGCUGACGAGUCCCCGGAAGGGGAGUGCUCCGAGUGGCGGCGAACCUCGGACUCGCUGGCCGGAGUCCGGGCGUAGUUUCGAACCGCACCGCGGUUUGGAUACGCUUCUCUCCUGUUGGGGCGCGACGCGCCGACGUCGGCGGACGGUAUCUUUCUCCGCGUCGGUGUUGUGCGUGUUUGACGCCGGCCUCUGCGCUGGCGUCUUCCGUGCCGGGUGACGGGGCCCGUUCGUCGCGUCCGAUGGCGCCGGUAUCCCGGAAACCAGUCGCGACGAGCAACCCUAGUCGAGCUCUCGUUCGACCCCGUCCUUGAAACACGGACCCAGGAUCUAACGUGUGUGCCGAGUCGUGGGCGUUCAGCCGCCGGCGCCCCUAGAUUGGACGUCGGCGCGACCGCAGACGAAACCCGUUGAGGGCGAAAAGAAAUUGAAAACGAGUCCAGCACUCGUCGAGGGAAGAUGGCGACGGAUCCGGCCCCCCCGUUCAUCGGGGGGGUUCCCCGAGCAGAUCGGCCCGCAUUCCCGGGGGUGCCUCAUCCGCCGGUCGGCCGUCAAAACGCCGGCCGACGAGAGGUGCGCCCAGAGCACACACGCUAGGACCCGAAAGAUGGUGAACUAUGCCUGGCCAGGACGAAGUCAGGGGAAACCCUGAUGGAGGUCCGAAACGAUUCUGACGUGCAAAUCGAUCGGUCUGAGCUGGGUAUAGGGGCGAAAGACUAAUCGAACAUAUCUAGUAGCUGGUUCCCUCCGAAGUUUCCCUCAGGAUAGCUGGCGCUCGGAGGUGGUACGAACGAAAACUCAACUGAGUCUCUUCCGGUAAAGCGAAUGAUUAGAGGCGCUUAGGGCUUGGGCCGAAACGACCUCAACCUAUUCUCAAACUUUAAAUGGGUGAGAACCCCGGCUUUGCUCGAGAUGUUUGAAGCCGCGGGCCUUGGAUCACUUGAGUGCCAAGUGGGCCAAUUUGGUAAGCAGAACUGGCGCUGUGGAUGAACCAAACACGCCGAGCUACGGGCGACUAAAUCGACGCAUUGAGACCUCAGAAAAGCGUUGUAUUGGCUAGCGACAGCAGUAGGGCGUUGGCCAUUUAAGUCGGACAUCCGCGUAAGGAGUGUGUAACAAUCACCUGCCGAAACUAGUCCGCUGAAAAUGGAGA